rnacentral:tRNA from 1 species
CGGGGUGUGGCGCAAUUGGCUAGCGCAUUCGCAUGGGGUGCGAAAGGUUGCUCGUUCAAGUCGAGUCACCCCGACAA